CCUCUUAACGAACCUUUUUAUUCAUUUGGUGUGGACCGAUGAGAUGAUUUAGGCAGAGUUACAUUUGCAAGUGCCCACCAAAUUAACUACAUUGACAUAAUUGCUUGUACAAAUUACUCUGGAAUCUGCGUUCCAGGUUUUGAGGGAUGCAAUCUAAUAACCCUGAUAAAGAUCAUACUUGCUAGCAUGCAUUACUUUUCCAUUCUUUCUAAAGAAUCAAGAACUUAUUGAUCAACUUAUACAUCCUUGAGAACUGAACUCUUGUAGCAAGACUGAAAAAUCCUAAUCUAUUUUUUUUUCCAUAUCCAGCUGCUUUUGUAGGUACACUUAGUCGCCAAUGGGUGGAUAGGUUGUGUUUGGGAGCCUCUGUCCAAGCACAAAUGAGCGAAAUAGGCCGAGAGCUCGGUCUGGCUGUGCAAAUGGCACCAUGUGAGAUGCGCCCCGCACUGUUGCAAAGGUCAGAAGAUUACCGUACUCUGUUGUCCAACCUCCAACCUUGAAAAUCAAAGAGCAACAUAUGUUACAUUCAUGUUUUAUAUCAUCAAAUUUGGCAUCUGUAAUUCAACUUGUAUUCAUAGCAUAGAAGUAUACCUGGCCUUUGCGGAACCAAGUACUGUACGGAACUGUGACAGGCAACCCCAUGUCAUGAGCUAGCUCUCGCACAAGGGUUCGGGAGCCCAAGAGGGGCACCACAGAGUCUUGAUCGCCGCUGUAACGUAAUUCACAUUGUCAUAACAAAUUGCACACGGAAUGAAACAAAUUAUCUGAAUAAAUAUACUCAGACUGGUAUAUGAAAAGGUAAGUUAUUUACCUGAAUAUCCAAAGUGGUAUCUUAUGUUCCACUAUUCUCCGAAGUAAAGGCAAGAUGUUGAUGUUACCAUCCUUAUCGGUGUAAUUCAGCACACUGGGACAUGAUUUUAGAUGAUCCAUGUGAGUUUGAGUUGCAAAGAUGAGCAGUUCAUUUACUCUGACACUCUCUUCUCUCUUUACAUAUUUAUUACUGAAAGGACCAACAUAUGUAUUUGGCAGAAGUAGCAAUAGAAGCACUUACUCACUGCACAUGCCCCAGCCAUAAGGUAGAUGUGUUCUAUUAGCAUGAAGAGCAUGCUGCACUUCUGGAAGAUUGAAGUAGAAGUACCUUUCAUAUGACAUGCAAACAUCCACUCCUAAACUGAUCUUGGUCACCUAGGUUGCACAAAAAACUAGUCACACAACAGCAAUCAAAGGUUCUGAUGUAAAUAUCAUGUGCCAUCCAUGAGGCAAUGAGCAUACAUAUUUGCGCAGUCGUAGCUCCUGCAUCACGAUCGAUGGGUAACAGACGUCGAGAAUGACAUCAUAGUUGUUGACGUAUUGUCCAACUAUGGAGUUUGCCUCGGCAAUGGCAUCAUUGCAUGACUUGCUCUCAUUGUGGGGGCUACCGAAUGUGUAAUCCUCAAAAUCACAACCCUUGUUUAUGGCCAGAAAUAUCUCAUCAGAUAUCAUACCAUGGGACCAGAAGUACUCAUAUGUCGCGGGGACAUCCCUGUCAAGCUUGAGUAACGGAUUCCCGAUCUACUCAAGGUAAUCUCAGAGUCAACAAAAUAGUCGUAGUAAGUACUCCCUCCGUCCCAUAAUAUAAGAGCGUUUCUGACACUACUAGUGUCAAAUACGCUCUUAUAUUAUGGAAGUAGAACAUAGUUGAUUCAAGAGAUGUCCAGGCUAUGCUUGACUACUUACAGCUACCCCCUUGAUAUUGAACUUAAAACCCUUAGAUUUCUCAUUGUGUGUGAGAAGGACAUCAGUGAGUUGCGGUAUAUAAUGCCCUGCAUUAUCAUUAGCGCAGAAUCACUCGCCAUAGAAGAGAGGCAAUCGAAACACAUAUUCCUGAAGUAGAACUUGAAAUGCUUUCUAACCUGCAUAGCUCUCUCCCGAAAGAAGUAAGCUGCUUGAUCUGUACUCCGGGAACUUCUUAUACCAUCCCAACAGAAAUUUGUACAUAUCAUUAGCUGCAUAAUUAAAGAAACAUACAGUUAGAUUGAUGUGUUCGGGCUAACCGGCAUCCUGCGAUGUCACAAGAUCGCAUCGGUUUACCGGUCCGCGCAUCUCCCGUAUUGUAGUCUGACGAAGUGUUGGAGUAGGACCAUCCAACUCCGGCGGGCGAUUCAACAAAUAGAAGAUUGGACACUGAAAAUUAACAAAGAUAUGAAACAACUAAGAGUUAGUAAGAUCUACAAUUUCUUUCACCGAAACAUGUGAUCAGAGAGAUGGUUCCCAAAAUCUCUCAACCUUUAUUCCACGACUUCUUGUUUAAUCGAAGGCCUCUGCCAUCUCCUCUGGGAUAAAACGGACCGAGCUCCGUAAACGCACCGCCUCCAACCGAAGAACAGCCAGGACCUGAACGUCAGUGAAAUUUUGCAGCAACAUACAGUUAGCAAUCACACUUCCAUAAGUGGUAGCAGUACUGAGAUCUUUAUCUGCAUCAUAGUGUAGCAAGGCACUGUUACAUCAAAGAAAGAAGCAUCUUUUUUUUACCAAAUGAUGCCUCACUGCUUUUAAAAAUCCUCAAGGACCACAACACACAAAGCCCAAAAUGAGGCAAGGGUCCAAGGGAACAUGGUGACCUCAAAGAUACUCACAAAACUGAUUAAUUUUUUCCUUGGCAGGUGUGGAGCAGAUGACGAUUAGCGAAUGGGAGGAAGUUGUUUGUGUUUCCAGUUCAGGAAACACUGCCUGUCAUCAUAUGACCCCUGAUGGGUGAACCAGCACUCAACGUGCAAGAAAGGUACAGUAGAGGAGGAAAAGGUACCAAGGAAUUGACUAGUUUAGUAUGCUCCACUCAUCAGGCCACUAAUGCAACAGUGCUAUUAUUAGCCAUGACAAUUCCAACACCAUAGUAAAAAAAAUUGAAAAAAAAACCCAACUAAAUAGUUUUUUUAAAACUGUUUGGGGAAACCAAAAUAGUUCCCAGAAACUCUCGAGAUCCAGACAGAAAAAACAAAGUCGCUGUGAAGGCUGUAUGUGUAAGGUGAAAUGCAGACCGGGUAGAAAUUCCUGCGUCGUCCUAACUCCCAACCGCUCAAGUCGAGAGCUAAUCAACCGUGCACAUAGGAGUACUACUUUAACACAUUUUCUACCAAACUAACGGCA
rnacentral:lncRNA from 1 species